CCUGGUAGCUCAGCUGGUAAAGCAUCUGCCUGCAAUGCAGGAGACCCUGGUUUGAUUCCUGGGGCAGGA
rnacentral:tRNA from 1 species